AUAUGUAAUAGACCCGAAACCGGGUGACCUAUCCAUGGUCAGGAUGAAGCUAGAGUAAAAUCUAGUGGAGGUCCGAACUCAUAAGCGUUAAAAAGCCUCGGGAUGAACUGUGGAUAGCGGAGAAAUUCCAAUCGAACUCGGAGAUAGCUGGUUCUCCUCGAAAUAGCUUUAGGGCUAGCCUUGUGUAGUAGUAUAUGGGGGUAGAGCACUGACUGAGGUAGGGGCCUAACCAGGUUACCAAACUCUAUCAAACUCCGAAUACCGUAUAUGUAAGCACAGGAGUCAGACUGCGGGAGCUAAGUUCCGUGGUCAAAAGGGAAAGAGCCCAGAUCGUCAAUUAAGGUCCCAAAGAUAUAGUUAAGUGGAAAACGAUGUGAUUUUGCGUAAACAACCAGGAUGUUGGCUUAGAAGCAGCCAUUCAUUCAAAGAGUGCGUAAUAGCUCACUGGUCGAGUGAAGUUGCGCGGAAAAUUACCGGGGCUAAACUAUACACCGAAAUUGCGGAUUUGCAUAGAAAUAUGUAAGUGGUAGAGGAGCAUUCUAUAGUAGGACGAAGCAUAAUCGAAAGGAUAUGUGGACGAGAUAGAAGAGAGAAUGCCGGAAUAAGUAGCGAAAGCAUGGUGAGAAUCCAUGCCAUCGAAAGUCUAAGGUUUCCUGGGGAAGGUUCGUCCGCCCAGGGUAAGUCGGGACCUAAGGAGAGGCCGAAAAGCGUAUCCGAUGGACAGCAGGUAGAAAUUCCUGCACUACGUAAUACUUAAAAGACAUAAAUGACACAGGAGUGGAAGAUAAGCGAGGAAGAGGAAAGACUCGUAUCGAAAGAUAUAGUGAAAAUUAAAGUAACGAAUUAUCAAGAAGCUAAUGGCGAGAAAAGUUUAUGGAUAUUGUAUUAAGUACCCGUACCGCAAACCGACACAGGUAGAUGAGGAGAAGAUCCUAAGAUGAGCGAGAGAAGCAUUGUUAAGGAACUCGGCAAAUUGACCCCGUAACUUCGGAAUAAGGGGUGCUGGAGUAGAAUCCAGUCGCAGAGAAUAGUCCCAAGCAACUGUUUAACAAAAACACAGGUUUCUGCUAAAUCGAAAGAUGAAGUAUAGGAGCUGACACCUGCCCAGUGCUGGGAGGUUAAGGGAAAGAGUUAGACGCAAGUCGAAGCUUAGAACUAAAGCCCCAGUGAACGGCGGCCGUAACUAUAACGGUCCUAAGGUAGCGAAAUUCCUUGUCAGGUAAGUUCUGACCCGCACGAAAGGUGUAAUGA
rnacentral:rRNA from 1 species